GGGGCUGAUUCUGGAUUCGACGGGAUUUGCGAAACCCAAGGUGCAUGCCGAGGGGCGGUUGGCCUCGUAAAAAGCCGCAAAAAAAUAGUCGCAAACGACGAAAACUACGCUUUAGCAGCUUAAUAACCUGCUUAGAGCCCUCUCUCCCUAGCCUCCGCUCUUAGGACGGGGAUCAAGAGAGGUCAAACCCAAAAGAGAUCGCGUGGAUGCCCUGCCUGGGGUUGAAGCGUUAAAACGAAUCAGGCUAGUCUGGUAGUGGCGUGUCCGUCCGCAGGUGCCAGGCGAAUGUAAAGACGAACUAAGCAUGUAGUACCGAGGAUGUAGGAAUUUCGGACGCGGGUUCAACUCCCGCCAGCUCCACCA
rnacentral:tmRNA from 5 species